rnacentral:rRNA from 1 species
GUGGCAAGCGUUGUCCGGAUUUAUUGGGCGUAAAGCGAGUGCAGGCGGUUCAAUAAGGCUGAUGUGAAAACCUUCGGCUCCACCGGAGAAUUGCAUCGGAAACUGUGUUUCUUGAGUGCAGAAGAGGAGAGUGGAACUCCAUGUGUAGCGGUGGAAUGCGUAGAUAUAUGGAAGAACACCAGUGGCGAAGGCGGCUCUCUGGUCUGUAACUGACGCUGAGGCUCGAAAGCAUGGGUAGCGAACA